UCUGGGCUAUCCGAUCGCGUUUGAAUCUGGCCGUUUAAUCAUGUUUGGGAGGGAGCACAUCCAAGUCGUCUGUGCACGCAGGAACGGACAUCAGCCGUUCGAUCGCGGACACACGAAUCGCCCAGGUGGUCCCCCCGCGUGACCUCCGACAUCAGCGUCUCUACUACUUGGCGCGUCCUGGUUGGUCCGAGCUGUUGACCCGGCGUCUAACGUGGCAAAACUUUUUAAAAUUACGUUUUGGC
rnacentral:lncRNA from 1 species